UUCAGACGCAGACAGAAAGAGAGAGUUAGAGAGAGAGAGAGAGAGAGAGGCGCAAUGCCUGAACGAGACGUGACUCUCUCUCUCUCUCCCCUAUCUCUUUCUCUCUCUAACGCAGCAUCAGCAACCUUCUCUUUUGAUUCCGAGAGAAAACGAAGAAAAUGAGCGUGAUCGACAUUCUCUCCCGAGUCGACUCAAUAUGCAAGAAAUACGACAAGUACGACGUCGAGAAGCACCGCGACCUCAAUCCCGCCGGAGAAGAUGCCUUCGCCCGUCACUACGCCCGCGUCGACGACGAAAUCCAAGCCACUCAUCUGAAAGCCGAGAAGGCUACGAUGGAGAGUAAUCGGGCUGUGGCGGUUGCGACGUAUGUGGAGAUUCGUCGGACCAAGGCUCGGUUGAUGGAGGAACUUCCUAAGCUGCGCAAGUUGGCUCUGAAAAAGGUUAAAGGGCUAUCCCCUGAAGAACUAGAAACACGUAGUGACCUGGUUUUUACACUGCCUGAGAGGAUUCAGGAGAUUCCAGAUGGGACAGAAGCUGCAGCCAAAAAAGCAGGGGGAUGGGGAACUUCAGCAUCCCAUAAAAAUAUCAAAUUUGAUUCAUCAGAUGGGAACUUUGAAAGUGAAUUUUUCCAGCAAACUGAAGAAUCGAGUCAGUUCAGGAAGGAGUAUGAAAUGCGGAAAAUGAAACAGGAUGAAGGUCUAGAUAUCAUCUCUGAAGGAUUGGGUACUUUGAAAGAUUUGGCCCAUGAUAUGCAUGAGGAAAUGGAUCGACAAGUCCCGCUAAUUGAUGAGAUAGAUACAAAGGUGGACAAGGUUACAUCUGACAUAAAAAGUAAUAAUGUUAGGCUUAAGGAAAAUCUAAUCAAGGUGAGGUCGAGCCGAAAUUUCUGCAUCGACAUUAUUUUGCUUUGUAUUGUUCUGGGAAUUGCCUUCUAUCUAUACAAUAUACUGCGAUAAAGUUACUUUAAAAGGACUUCAGCAGCUUAUCGGACCAUAUCUGGUGUGCCUGAAACUAUUGCCUCCCGAAUGUGUUCUUUCGUUAAGGCACAUAGCUUUCAUCAAAGACUUCAUUACUUGAAGUAUGUAGCUAGGAAGGACAUUUCAUUAAACUCCUCAAAGUUGGCGGGAACCGUUGGAUUUGCUUUAGCUAUCUUUUCUCCCUUGAAAGCUCGCACUUGAAUUGGUCUCUAUCGGUGAUGGAGCUUGACCGGCGAGCAUGAAAGCUAAUAGUCGACAGUCUUUGUAUAGAAAAUCUGUGAUUAAAUCAGCACGAUGGAUUGGAUCUGUAGGCUGUGUCGGCCCAGCUUUUGGUAGGCACCUCCAAGAUUCAGUGUUGUAGAUGUCUUGAGGGUUGCAUGUGUUCUUUGUUGUGUUUCCUCGCUGUUGAACUCGACAUAGUACCCAAUCAUCCAACUGUUACAACAAGAAGCAUUUUUAUAUUAUUGCCUUUGGUCACAUUGUUUUGAUCAAAGUCGAUGUAUGAACUGGAUAACUGACUGAGUCGUAGUUAAAAAAAAAAAAAAAAAAAAAAAAAUGAAGACGGCUUAAAUAGUUAAAUCGAA